AGCGGCGGACGGGUGAGUAAUGCUUAGGAAUCUGCCUAUUAGUGGGGGACAACAUUCCGAAAGGAAUGCUAAUACCGCAUACGUCCUACGGGAGAAAGCAGGGGAUCUUCGGACCUUGCGCUAAUAGAUGAGCCUAAGUCGGAUUAGCUAGUUGGUGGGGUAAAGGCCUACCAAGGCGACGAUCUGUAGCGGGUCUGAGAGGAUGAUCCGCCACACUGGGACUGAGACACGGCCCAGACUCCUACGGGAGGCAGCAGUGGGGAAUAUUGGACAAUGGGGGGAACCCUGAUCCAGCCAUGCCGCGUGUGUGAAGAAGGCCUUAUGGUUGUAAAGCACUUUAAGCGAGGAGGAGGCUACUGAGACUAAUACUCUUGGAUAGUGGACGUUACUCGCAGAAUAAGCACCGGCUAACUCUGUGCCAGCAGCCGCGGUAAUACAGAGGGUGCGAGCGUUAAUCGGAUUUACUGGGCGUAAAGCGUGCGUAGGCGGCUUUUUAAGUCGGAUGUGAAAUCCCCGAGCUUAACUUGGGAAUUGCAUUCGAUACUGGGAAGCCAGAGUAUGGGAGAGGAUGGUAGAAUUCCAGGUGUAGCGGUGAAAUGCGUAGAGAUCUGGAGGAAUACCGAUGGCGAAGGCAGCCAUCUGGCCUAAUACUGACGCUGAGGUACGAAAGCAUGGGGAGCAAACAGGAUUAGAUACCCUGGUAGUCCAUGCCGUAAACGAUGUCUACUAGC
rnacentral:rRNA from 1 species